rnacentral:rRNA from 1 species
CAUAGCCUAAAGCUUUAAUUUUAGGUACUGCCUGCCCUAUGAAUCUUAAAUGGCCGCAGUAUUCUGACUGUGCAAAGGUAGCAUAAUCAUUUGUCUUUUAAUUGAAGGCUUGUAUGAAUGGCGUGACGGAGAUGGGACUGUCCCAUAUUUACACACCUAACUUAAUAUAUAAGUCAAAAAGCUUAUAUAAAAACGCAGGACGAGAAGACCCCAUAGAUCUUAAUAAAAACUAUUUUGUAUCUUUUAGAAGCUAAUGAUUCAAUUAUAAAAAUUAUUUAGUUGGGGCGACUAGAAGUAAAUUAACACUUCUUUGGAAACAUAAAUAAAUGGGUGUGUGACCCGACUUUCGAUUCAAAAAUAAAGUUACCUUGGGGAUAACAGCGUAAUCUAAAUUAAGAGUUCUUAUCAAAAUUUAGGAUUGCGACCUCGAUGUUGGAUUAAGAUUCAAUUUAAAUGCAGCAGUUUAAACUUGGGGUCUGUUCGACCCUUAAAAUCUUACAUGAUCU